UNCAGAGAAGAUUAGCAUGGCCCCUGC
rnacentral:piRNA from 1 species